UUUUGUUCAGACUUCCAGCAUAACAUGGUAGAAAAAGAAAGUCAUCCAGAAUAUAUCGAAUCUGAGCUGUUUUGGAUUAAAUUCUUUGCCAUUGCGAUCUUCUCAUGUCUAAACUAUGCUAUGCAGUGUGUAAACGGUGUUUUAAAUGACUGAAGGUGAUGUCUAUUCUCCUCUCCAUCUCCAACACAGAUGAUUGGACCAGGAAUAAUAGGUCUGCACUGGAGGAAGCCCACAGGGGGGAAAAAAAGGCACCCCCAGUGUGCCAGCACUAGAAGAGUCACUGAACAUGCAACGGUGACAAAGACACUCCCACAGUUCGGAGUAGAGGGCCAUAUCCGAAAACACUGAGGACUUCGCAUUUGAUGAAGAGGGGUGCAUUCUGUGAAUUCAGAGGAGAUGGCAUUUGAGGGAGAUGGGGCGGCGUGGAUAAAGGUGCAGCUGUUCAUCGGAGCAGGACGCUUCAAGUGCUCCCCUCCCUCCCAAGGGUUCAACCCCAAUCCGUUUCUCAUGCUGCUGAGGCGUUAACUGUCUUAAGGAACAAUUGGCCAAAGGGGGAGAAACUGACAGAAGAGGUUUGAAGGGUAACAGUGAGACCUAACAACUUCUUAAAAUAUUUCCUGGACAUUCACCAGACUUCAGACCUUCCUUGAUGUCCACAUU
rnacentral:lncRNA from 1 species